rnacentral:rRNA from 1 species
AGUGAACGCUGGCGGUAGGCCUAACACAUGCAAGUCGAACGGCAGCACAGUAAGAGCUUGCUCUUACGGGUGGCGAGUGGCGGACGGGUGAGGAAUACAUCGGAAUCUACUUUUUCGUGGGGGAUAACGUAGGGAAACUUACGCUAAUACCGCAUACGACCUACGGGUGAAAGCAGGGGAUCUUCGGACCUUGCGCGAUUGAAUGAGCCGAUGUCGGAUUAGCUAGGUGGCGGGGUAAAGGCCCACCAAGGCGACGAUCCGUAGCUGGUCUGAGAGGAUGAUCAGCCACACUGGAACUGAGACACGGUCCAGACUCCUACGGGAGGCAGCAGUGGGGAAUAUUGGACGAUGGGCGCAAGCCUGAUCCAGCCAUACCGCGUGGGUGAAGAAGGCCUUCGGGUUGUAAAGCCCUUUUGUUGGGAAAGAAAAGCAGCAGGUUAAUACCCCGCUGUUCUGACGGUACCCAAAGAAUAAGCACCGGCUAACUUCGUG